AUUGAACGCUGGCGGCAGGCCUAACACAUGCAAGUCGAGCGGAGCGGCGGACGGGUGAGUAAUGCCUAGGAAUCUGCCUGGUAGUGGGGGAUAACGUCAGGAAACGGGCGCUAAUACCGCAUACUAUCAAAUGAGACUAGGUCGGAUUCGCUAUUUGGUGGGGUAAAGGCCUACCAAGGCGACGAUCCGUAACUGGUCUGAGAGGAUGAUCAGGCACACUGGAACUGGAACACGUCCCAGACUCCUACGGUAGGCAGCAGUGGGUAAUAUUGUACAAUGGGCGAAAGCCUGAGCCAGCCAUGCCGCGUGUUGGAAGAAGUUCUUCGGAUUGUAAAGCACUUUAAGUUGGGAGGCGUUACCAACAGAAUAAGCACCGGCUAACUUCGUGCCAGCAGCCGCGGUAAUAC
rnacentral:rRNA from 1 species